CGAAGGGUGCAAACGUUGCUCGGAGUUAUUGGGCGUAAAGCGCACGUAGGCGGCUUUGCAAGUCGGAUGUGAAAUCCCUCGGCUUAACCAAGGAAGUGCAUCCGAAACUGCAGAGCUUGAGUACUUAAGAGGAUCGCGGAAUUCCCGGUGUAGAGGUGAAAUUCGUAGAUAUCGGGAGGAACACCAGUGGCGAAGGCGGCGAUCUGGGAAGAUACUGACGCUGAGGUGCGAAAGCGUGGGGAGCAAACGGGAUUAGAUACCCUGGUAGUCCACGCCGUAAACGAUGAGUGCUAGAUGCUGUGGGUAUUGACCCCCGCGGUGUCGCAGCCAACGCGUUAAGCACUCCGCCUGGGGAGUACGGCCGCAAGGCUA
rnacentral:rRNA from 1 species